rnacentral:rRNA from 1 species
AGAGUUUGAUCCUGGCUCAGGAUGAACGCUAUCAAUAUACUUGACACAUGCAUGUCGAACGAAACUUGUUUUCGUGGCGUAAGGGUGAGUAAUACAUAAGAAUCUACCAUUAAAUAAUGAUACAAGCAGAUCUAUUUAAGAGAAAAGAUAUUUAUAUCUAAUGCAAAUAUCUAAAGAAUGAUAAUUCGUUUAAUGAUGAGCUUAUGGAAGAUUAGGUAGUUGGUGUGGGUAAAAGCCUACCAAGCCGAUGAUCUUUAGCUGGUUUGAGAGAAUGGCCAGCCACACUGGAACUGAAACAAGGUCCAGGCUUUUUCGGAAGCCAGCAGUGAGGAAUAUUGGACAAUGGGCGAAAGCCUGAUCCAGUAAUAUUGAGUGCGCGAGGAAAGCAUAAAAGACAUUUUAUAUGUUGGCUGUAAAGCGCUUUCGUCAAAGAAGAUUAUGA